UCCUUCCUUCCUUCCUUCCUUCCUUCCUUCCUUCCUUCCUUCCCUAGUCGCACUGAACUGACAGGUGACACUGCCUCCCUAAGUUGUCUAGAUAAAAUGCCCCUAUGAUAACAACCACAACAAAGGCACUUGGAGAUGUGACUGCAAUUCAGUGGACAGACUAGGACUGGAUGGAGAGAUCUGGGAAUCAUCUGCAUACAAAUGACUGAACUCACAGGGGCCAAUGAGAGACCAGGUGAGAUAAGUCUAGAGCCAAAAGAGAAAAGGGUGCAAGCCAGGGCACUGGGAGAUAUCUAUGGUUAAUGACACAAAAGAAGAACCACGAAAGGAGAGAGAGAAAUAGGAGACAGCAGCACCACGAAAAUCUUGAGAGGGGAAAGUGUCCAGAAGGCAAAGAUGAUGGACAGCAUCAAAUGCUGCAGAGAUGUCAAGGGGAUGAAGACUGAGAUUUUGAGAUUAGUUUUUAGAUUUAGCAGUGAAGAUCUUGAUCAUUGUUAACUUUGGAGAAAGUGGUUUCAGCUGAACAGUGAAACUGGAAAAAGAAGAAAAAGAAAAUAAGGUGUAGAACUUUGUUUUAAGAGGUUGCCAAUUUUGUAGGGGAAUCAAGGGAUGCAAAAUAAUUAUGACACAAAUUAGAAUAAGAGGUAUGUAAAAAGUGUAGUCCUUAUCUUCAGAGAAGAUCAAAUAAAGAUAAAACAAGCAUAAAUUUCAGCAAGAUUGUCUAUACUUAAAAAUUAUGACGCUAAGCACAUAUUUAAGGAAGUAUGAAAAGGAAUAUUUGGUAUACAAAGUGCAGGAUUGAUGAAAUGAUCAACAAAAAUCCUUUUAAACAUUGGGGUCUGGCAAAAAAAAUAUAAAUAUGUGCUCCAUUAAAAACUGCCUCUGUUUCUUCAUCCUGUCAUAUAGGUAACCCUGGGUGUAUCAAGACUAGGUGACUCAUGUGAGAUCUGGCAAGCUGGAGGCUUAGGGUAGGGGCCUGGCAACAUAUAAUAUGUACCUUCUUUUGAGGACUAGACUAAAUUCAGAAAGUCUUCUCACCGAAGGCUGCUUUUUUUUUUUUGUCAUACUAAUUCAGGAAGACCCUAUACUAUGAUACAGCAAGAUGGCUAUUUGUUACUACUAUUCUUCAUUGUGAAAUUAAUGCUUGAGAUUUUUCAUAUUUUAUAUACAAUAGGUGCUCAAGAAAUGUUACCUUAUAUUUAAGAUAAUAGUUUUAGCCAGAAGGGUCAAAGAUGUUUUAAUUUACCUAAAAAUCUAUUUGCUUUAAUAUAUAUUAACAGACGCUGCCCACUGCCCAAAUUGUGAAAAAACUCAUAAUUUCUGGUGAUAAAACUUUUUUGUAUAUACACUUUAAUAUUUGAAAUAACUAGUUAUGUUUAACAUUGUUCAAUAUUCAAAUGAAUAAACAUAAAAUAUUAUGACAUUUUCAAUAGACUCUCCAAAGGCUGGAAUGGGUGUUAAAAACUGCAGGGAGAAAAAAACUGUUACCCUUUUCUUGUAAUAGACUUCCUAACAAACUUCCAAAAUUAAACUACUUUGUAUAUACUGUUUAUAUAAAUACAGCAAAUCUCACAAGGGUCACCUACUGAAGCUCCUUAAGAAAAA